rnacentral:rRNA from 1 species
GUCGAACGCGCAGCAUUCUGUAGCAAUACAGGGUGUGGGCGCGUGGCGAACGGGUGCGUAACACGUGGAUAACCUUCCUUGAGGUGGGGAAUAACCCAGUGAAAAUUGGGCUAAUACCGCAUAACACAGCGAUGGCACAUGCUGAUGCUGUCAAAGGCGCAAGUCGCCACAAGAGGGAUCCGCGGCCGAUUAGCUUGUUGGCGAGGUAAUGGCUCACCAAGGCAAUGAUCGGUAGCCGGACUGAGAGGUUGGCCGGCCACACUGGAACUGAGACACGGUCCAGACUCCUACGGGAGGCAGCAGUGGGGAAUCUUGCACAAUGGACGAAAGUCUGAUGCAGCAACGCCGCGUGGGGGAUGAAGCUUCUCGGAGUGUAAACCCCUUUCGACCCGGAAGAAUGCCCGCAAGGGUAUGACGGUACGGGUAUAAGAAGCCCCGGCUAACUACGUGCCAGCAGCCGCGGUAAUACGUAGGGGGCCAGCGUUGCUCGGAAUUACUGGGCGUAAAGGGUCCGUAGGCGGUGUAGCAAGUCGAUAGUGAAAUCUCUGCGCUUAACGCAGAGGCUGCUAACGAAACUGCUGUGCUAGAGUGUGAGAGAGGCGAGUGGAAUUACGGGUGUAGCGGUGAAAUGCGUAGAUAUCCGUAGGAACAUCCGAGGCGAAGGCGGCUCGCUGGAUCACAACUGACGCUGAGGGACGAAAGCUAGGGGAGCAAACAGGAUUAGAUACCCUG